CAAGCUGUUGUAAACCCUUGUCUCGUCUAAAUGUUAAUUGUCUGAAUAUAUCACAGUGAUGAAAACUGUGUAAACAAUCUGUGUGCGUUAGCUGCGGGGGACGUCUUGUCUUUACAAAACAAUCGCUCUAAACAAGCGUAUUAAGUAUGACGAGGGCUUAUCUCCUGUUCUCCAUGAUUGUCUGUGUCGCCGUCGGUAGAUUAAUCUAUAACUCUUUUAAUCACCUACCGGAUGAGGACACAUUUAUAUGUUGUAAGAGAGGGAACUGGGAUUCAUGUUUGUGUGAGGACCUCAGCCAGGCGGGUAUUUGUAUAGACAGACGAUGCUACGGCUGUAAGGAAUGUAAAGUA